rnacentral:rRNA from 1 species
AUACGGAGGGUGCAAGCGUUAAUCGGAAUUACUGGGCGUAAAGCGUACGUAGGCGGUGAGUUAAGUUAGAUGUGAAAGCCCCGGGCUCAACCUGGGAACUGCAUUUAAAACUGGCUCACUAGAGUUGAGUAGAGGGGAGUGGAAUUUCAGGUGUAGCGGUGAAAUGCGUAGAGAUCUGAAGGAACACCAGUGGCGAAGGCGACUCCCUGGACUCGAACUGACGCUGAGGUACGAAAGCGUGGGUAGCAAACGGGAUUAGAAACCCUAGUAGUCC